rnacentral:tmRNA from 2 species
GGGGGUGAUCGGUUUCGACGGUGAUCGUCAUCGCAGGAGAAGCGGGCCGAGGAUGCACAGUUAUCUCGUAAACGAUCUGUGCAAAACCAAUAGGUGCCAACGCAAAGCGCACCGACUUCGCCCUCGCCGCCUGAGCGAGCCUCGAAGUCCGUCAGCCUGAGCUAGUUUCCGACUCAGUGUCUGGCGUCAGCUAGGAGACUUACCGUGCCGUCAUGUUGGGGGGCGGCAUGGGACAUCUACUCAACUGGGCCUGUCAGAGGACGCGUGCGUGCGAGCUCUGGGGCCGAGAAACUCCAUAGCGCACUGCGCCCGGAGAAGUCCUGCCAUCACGUCAUCGGACGCGGGUUCGAUUCCCGCCACCUCCACGA